GACGCAGCCGGGACGGUAGCUGCGGUGCGGACCGGAGGAGCCAUCUUGUCUCGUCGCCGGGGAGUCAGGCCCCUAAAUCGAAGAAGCCCUGGCGCGCCCUCCCCCCCUCCCGGGUCUGGUAGGGCGAAGGAACGGGCGUGCGGUCGAUCGAGCGAUCGGUUGGCGGCUCUUUCUCCUGCUCUGGCAUCCAGCUCUUGGGGCGCAGGCCCGGCCGCCGCGGCGCGCGCCCGGUGGCCGUUGGCGCUCGCGCCGCGUCUUUCUUCUCGUACGCAGAACUCGGGCGGCGGCCUAUGCGUUUGCGAUUCGACGAGGAGUCGUCCGGGUGGUCGGCGGCGGCGGGCAGCUGCUCCGCCCCGCUCCGGGGGAGGCGGCGGCGGCAGCGGCCGCGGGAUUUGGAGCGGCCGGGGAGGCGGGGGUGGCCGGGGCCGGCUUGGAGGCCUGGCGCCACCCUUCGGGGCCUGCAAGGACCCAGUUGGGGGGGCAGGAGGGGGCCGGAGGAUGGUUGGUUGUGGGAUUUCUACUUUGCCUUUUCCUCCUUAUGCCGCCUUAGUGAGGGGCGGGAGCUCUGGCGGCAGCCCCGGGGUGGGGAGACGAGCUCCGGAGUCGGAAGAGCUGGGUUUUCUUCCGGGCCUAGCCACCAGUUGGCGGAGUGACCUUAGGCGAGUCACUCUGUAAUUUGUCUGCGCCUCAGUUUCCUCCUCUGCCUAUCAAUGUGUGUGGGGUUGAAAUCGCUUUGUAAACUAUAAAGCGUGGGUGUACGUAAAGGAUGGUUAUUGUUUAUAAUUUUUUUUGAGUUGUAAGAAAACUUAGCAGUUCCCCAAUCCUUGGGUUUUGAACCUGGGAACCUUGGAUUGGAGUUGGGGAUCCCCAAACUUCCUGAAAUUGUGGGAAUGUGCGGUUUGGGGGAAUGAUGGGAAUUUGUGGGAAUGUGCGUUUUAGGGGAAUGAUGAUCCAUCGCUAGCAAGUUUUCCAAGGGGGCUGUGACCCAGAAGAGUUAAGAAUCACAAUUUCUUCAUGCUACAGAGAGGAAACUGAGGCCUAGAUGUCAUUUGGGACCCUUCACAACCAUUUUGAAGCCCUGUUUGAGUCCCUGGGAUAUGUGAGCUGUUUCUAUGCAUAAUGGAUAUUCGGGGUUAACAACAGUCCCCUGCUUGGCUUCUAUUCUGAAUCCUUUUCUUUCACCAUGGGGUGCCUGAAGGGUGGCUGAUGCAUAUGGUACAAUGGCACCCAGUGUAAAGCAGCUACAAUUAGGAGUGGAUGUGUUCUGUAGCAUCCUAUUUAAAUAAGCCUAUUUUAUCCUUUGGCCCGUCAACUCUGUUAUCUGCUGCUUGUACUGGUGCCUGUACUUUUCUGACUCUCAUUGACCAUAUUCCACGACCAUGGUUGUCAUCCAUUACUUGAUCCUACUUUACAUGUCUAGGCUGUGUGGUUGGUGGUGAAUAGGCUUCUUUUUACAUGGUGCUGCCAGCCCAGCUAAUUAAUGGUGCACGUGGACUUUUAGCAAGCGGGCUCACUGGAAGAGACUGAACCUGGCAUGGAAUUCCUGAAGAUGUUUGGGGUUUUUUUCUUUCUUAAUCGAAAGUUAACAUUGUCUGAAAAGUUUUGUUAGAACUACUGCGGAACCUCAAAAUCAGUAGAUUUGGAAGUGAUUCAAAGCUAAACUUUUUCCUUGGCCCUCCUUGUGUUCUAAUUGCUUGCAAGUGUAAUACUAGGAUGUCCAAGAUGCCAGUUUUUGCUUCUUUGUUAGUUGUCAGCUGCUUUUAUCAAAUUUCAGGCCAUUAUCCAACAAACACUAUAAAAAUGUUUGAACAAUUGGAUUUCAAACAUUUUCGUUUUGUGGAGUGGUGCUCACCAAGUGGUACAGCCCUAAGCAAGUGAACACAAACACAUUUAAGUGUAUUUUGUCUGAUUAGAUGUUAGCCAGUUAUGCUAUUUCAUUCAAAUGUCUGAAAAAAUCAAUUGACUAUUCCCUUUUCCUAAAGGGCAGAGACAGAUAAUCUCACUUCCAGAGAAAUGACUUGGAGAAAAAAAAGUGUUGGUCUUUUUGCUCUUUUGUAAUUAAAUCCGGAUGUACCUCAAAAGACUUAAGACUGUGGUGAUAAGAUGCUUUCCUCAGCAGAAAGGAGGGAAAAAAAACAACUGGAACUCAAAGCUUGAAAUUCUGUGGCAAAACAUGAGAUGUCCAGGAUUGGAGGUUGAAAAGAUUUCACUACAGUGUUCUGCAAUAGUUGGAGCAGAUAACUUUCAGUGUAGCCACAGCCAUGGACUCCAGAUUUCCAGAUUUUCAAGACCUGGACCUGGAACCCGAAAGAGCUUGUCACGAUGCGGCAGGAACACUGGAGGUAGAUUUUUUUUUAUUUUUGAAUUUUGGGACUGUUGACCUUGCUGUGAGAAAAGAGACAACGACUGAGCAAGCACUACCACCAGCACUGUUACUGGGAAUUAGAAGACCUGAGUUUCUGUCCAGACCCUCAGUGCAAACUGAGGAUGCUCCAUCCAAAGUGAAUUAUGUCCUGUGCCUCCUGAUUGCUGAGUGUUCACCUGGACCUUCUGACUACCUUCCCUGUGCUAUUCCAUCAGCCUACAGACCUGGUACCUGGAUUUUUGCCCGAGAUGAUUCCUACCACCUUACUACUGACGAAGACACCCAUUCCAGUGGACCACUGUGACCCAGGAGGCAUUCAGCCAUCAUGAUGUGGCCUUUACCUCCACUCCUGUCUUGUUCUACCCAGAUUCAGCACAGCCCUUUAUAGUGAAGUCAGAGUCCUCAAGCCAAAUAGCUAAAGCUGUUUUAUCACAACAAAGGCCUAGUUUGUUCCAUGAGUGUGCAUUUCAUUUCUUCAGUUAAAGCCUUCAGAGACACACAAUAAAUUUGGACCAGGGGAUUUUUUAGUUAUUAAUGCUCUCUGAAGAAAGGCAACAUCUUUUUGAGAGCAGCAUUGGACCACACCCCACAAUCUCAAAUGAUUGAAAUUCAUGAACAUCUAGGAUCCCGUGAAGGUCACUGGACCCUGUUUUUUCUACUUCAAAUCCUGUAGUAGCCUACUGAAUGAGAAAACAUAUUCUGACCCAUUGGGAUCAAAUCAAAGGCACAGUGAACUCCUCAUAGCAUCUUCUUUGGAAUUACUCAGGAACCAGAACUUUUUACACAAAUCAUUUUGUGACCGACUUAUUCUUAGAUCAUUGGUUUUCCAAAGGCUUUGUGGCCAUGAAGCCCUUUGAGUGAAAACUGUGCAGAAGCCCAGAGUAAAAGUGAAGCUGCUCUGGAUGAAGUAGUGAAGCAAGAGUAGGGGCCUGAAUCCUGCUACAACUAUCUUCCUUUACCACCGUGGUGACACCUAAGGGGACUUCCUUACAACACCUUGAACUCUUCCGAACACAGUUUGAAAACCACUGCCCCAGACAGCAAUAUGUUUGACCUGAAUGGCAUUCCAAUCUUUUCUGUACCUCCACUCAGCACAGUUCAUGUUCAGUAGAUGCUGAACAUUCUUAGAAAUACUGUGUGUGAACUUAGAAAAGUGCAAGAAGACAGGCAUGUCUUUGACCCCAGGAAUGAUCAUUUGCUGAAGAUGGUGUCAAGUGAACCUAGAUUAACAGCCCUCCACUCCAGAUGGAUAUCCAGUGAUUCCUAGAAUGGGAUAUAGCCAGAGAACAAUUCUAUGCACCCUACACUGACAGACUCCCUUAAGCAACACCAGAUGCUCUACUGGUACUUGAAGUACAUGACUUUGAAGUCUUGACCCUCCAUGAAUACCUGAAUUAUCAGCAAGCGGGUUUUGAAGCUGGUGCCUCAUUGAGGCCAUAUUAGAGCAACUUGUACAUUUGACCUCUUGUUAUCAGCCAUGGUACUCUACUUCGUGUGCAAGAGAUAACUAUGAAAGCCAAAUUCAAAUACUGGCAACAUUUCCUAAAGGGGCUCAAUAUCUAUCAUUCGUCUUCUUUUCCAAACUACACAUCACUGUAUGACUCAACCAGUAGCAGUUAUAUUGCCCCUUGGUUUUUAUUCAGUUUAACUACUGUUUCCAAGAUAAAUGAGCUAAUAAGCUUUAAAAAAAAAAAAAAAAAAGGCUGAAUUCUUUUUUCUUCAUCACUGGCAUAUCUGCCUAUUCUCCAGAAUUAUUAUGACUAUUCAGCUCACUUUAACAGUUGAACUUCAAGCGACAAUCUUUGAACACCCCUUCUCAUGUGAUUUAAAAUGAAACCAUUUGGAAAAGUUUCUUCUAGCCAGUAAUAGAUUUUUUUUUUAAUUGCUCUGCCUUGUGCCGAGAGAUGUUCUUUUAAGAUGAAUCUUUUGAUGUCUGAUACCACCAAAUAUAGGUGGUAGGGAGAGUUGGAGGCUGGCCCUUUGAGCAGGCCAUUAGCUUACUUGCUGGGCAUUUCCGAUAGCUUAUUGCCUACCUUUUUGCUGGAAACAAACUGAUUUGAAAAACAAAAUCUAUGAAGACUGCAGCUAAGGAUUUUAUCGGUAGACUUAAGAGCUUUUGUCCUUGUGGAUAUUUUAGUGGAACCACAUCAGUCUCAAUACUGUCAUUUUACACUGACUCAGAGCAGCUGACUUCAUUCCUUGCCAUGAUAUAUAUUUAAGGCAGGCAUUGUAACAGACAUAAAGACAACUUAUCUGUUUCAGCAGGAAGGAUUCAGUUUAUGAACUCUCAGACCAGAUCAUGUUGAACAAGGAGACUUUGAUGUGUGUCAUGAGAAAACUCAUUCUUUACUUCCCAGUCAAUUUAAAGGCCAGCUAUCCUGAGCUACUCGAAUGAAUGCACUGGUUAAACAUUGGAAAUAGUUUGUUUAUAUCCUUGUCUCUCUCUAGGCCAAUUGUGAUUACAUGACUCGACUCUACAUCUCGUCAAACAAGGCCUAGGUCUGGUUGCUGUAGACUGCUCGCCCUCAACAAAUAAAAUCUGGUUGACUAGCCUCCUUGUAUAUACAACUAUUAUUUGUUAAGAAGAAAUUAUCGUCAAUUUUCUACUACCUUCCAAUUGUCAGCUCUUUUUUUCCUCUCUGGUUUUUCCUAUACUUUACAGAAAAAGACAUUGAUCUAUACUGCCAUUCCCUCUAAUCCUGCCAUACUCAGUCAAAAGGAAUGACUUAAGAUGAAGAUGAUCAUCUGCUCGAGUCUAAAAUAUACAUUGUAUAUAAGAAUUGGUGAUUAGAAAAGCAAAAAACCUAAAACUUAAAUCUAGGAGUCUGUAUACUGUCUCCAUGUCUCCAUGCCUCAGAUCUCAUCUAAAUCUUUGAACAGCACCAUUCAACCAAUCUGAGGCCUUGACUUGCUUGUAAGAUGAUUCUCAGAGAUCGGCUGAGUUAAAAAAGAUGACGACUUGAUUACCAAAGAAAGUAGGGCCAACUUUGACAAAUCUGGCUCUGCUGACCCUGUCACUCCCAGAUGUAGCAUAGACUCCUAAACAGAACCUCAAGUCUGAUUGAGGAUAAGGCCUUCUCCUGAGCUGAAAGUUCUUUGGCAGAUGAGCAAGAAACUGAAAGCUGAUGUACCUGACUGGCUCUGUAAGAUCAGAAAACUGUAUCCAGAAUAAGCCCUAUGGAUUAACCCCUGAGUACCCAGAGUAAAAACUAAUUUACAGAACUUCCUUAUUGAUCUGCUGGUUCUUCCAGAUCAUAUUCUGGCUAUUGGUAUGGCUGGCCUUUCUGAAGGUACCCUGCUUGUCUAUUUUCCUGACUCAGCUCUUGCCUGCCUUUUUCACAUGUUGCUGCAAUUAGACUCACCGUGAGGACUACAGUCAAUUUCAGUCUAUCUUGUGCCCAAUACAACAAGGAUUUUUAAUAGUAACAACCCACACCUCACCCACUAGGACUCAAUGUUCACAACAGGAAGGACCAUUGCUGCAUACUCCUUGACCAGCAACUUUUUUGAAGAUAUUUUUAAGUGCAGAGUAGGCCUCUAUUCCUGUAUGUAAUUGUUCAUUUUCAGCACCUGGAACCUCAUCUAUCGGGUCUGGAAGGAAUACAGCAGUUCGAAAGCCGCGUCCAUUUCUCUCCUUCAGUAGUGCAGAAAUGAGUCCGAUUCACCAGUACACACAGAACUGUACCAGUUCAACCUAGCAAAAGAAGAAAAGUUUCCACUGUACUUAAAAUUUACAGCUGACUCAAAUUGCCUCACAGAAUUAUUUGAUGUAGAAGGCUAGUUGUCUUACUUCAGAUCAGCAGGACAGUUGGGCUCUCAGACUCAUGACCACUGAGUUUGCUUGUGUUGAAACUGUGGUUUCAUCCAACAUAUGCUAUUGGACAUGAUUAUUAUUCCAUUCAAAUGGAUUACAGACUUCUUGAGGACAGGACAAACUUAUCUCUCAUGGUGUUUUUUUAGAAUACUUUUAUAACCAAGGAAGAAACCAUGCCAGCUGUUACCAUUCAACUUCUUAAGCAGAGAUUAAGCUUUUUCAUAUCUGUUCUUAUCCUGGACAUCAGUAGUUUUUAAUUGCCCAGCAUCCGUUCCAUCUUGUAACAACUCCCUGAUGUUUCUUAAAACCACCUCUUCCUAUUUUCAGUCUGUGGUUUGGACAGUCUGACCCAACCUUGAGCUUUGUGGGUGAACAUGUAAUUCAGACCUCAUCAAUCAGCAAAUCCAUCUGAACUGUGGAGGAGAAGCUCUCUUUACUGAGGGUGCUUUAGCUUUGUAGGAUGAAAACCUCAAACUAACAGGGCCUACCAUGUAGAGAAUGAAGCCAGUGCAGGGGAAAGCAGAGCCAAAAUAUGGAGAGACUUGAAUCCUGAUGACAGCGUUUGUGCCCCUGGAUCCAACCGUGCCUGAAGCUAGAAUAUCCCCUGGACUUUUCAGUUAUGUGAACCAAUAAAUACCCUUUUUUGCUUAAGUUACUUUGAGUUGGGUUUCUGUUACUUGAAAUUGAAUCCACACUAAUAUAUCUACCAACAUUGAGACUUGACAGAUCCAAGUAUUUAUUAAGCUAGAGGUCAUGGUCACUGAAAUUACUUUCCAAAGUGGAAGACAAAAUGAAACAGGAACUGAGGGAAUAUUUAAGAUCCCACAGAAGCGUAAAAAUGACAUGGUAGAAAGUAAUAGAAAACCUAAAUGUCUGUCAUUAAAGGAUAGGUUAAGGUGUGGUUCAGCCAUAUAGGAAUAUCUCGUAUCUGUUAAAAUGAAUAAAGUACAUUCAUUGUGUAUGGAAAAAUGGCCAUGAUACAUUAGGUGAAACAAGUUAUUAAUAGAAAAGUGUACAGUGUGAACUCAUUUUAAAAUGUGUGUGCUUAUGUUUAUAAAUGCAUAGAAAGGUCUAUUCACAGCUUUCUUUGAACAGUGUAGAUCACAUGAAACUUUCAACUUUAUACAUUUCUGUAUUAAUAUUUUACACUACCCACAUUAUUUUUAAACUUUAUUUUAAAUAAAGAAUUUUUAAAAUUAAAUUUAGUGCUUACUGUUUGACCUUGGCAAGUUAUUCAACACUGAGCCUGUUUUAUC
rnacentral:lncRNA from 1 species